rnacentral:rRNA from 1 species
UACGAGGGGGGCGAGCGUUGUUCGGAAUUAUUGGGCGUAAAGGGUGCGUAGGCGGUUUGGUAAGUCUGAUGUGAAAUCUAUGGGCUCAACUCAUAGUCUGCAUCGGAAACUGCCGGGCUUGAGUACGGGAGAGGUGAGUGGAACUCCGAGUGUAGAGGUGAAAUUCGUAGAUAUUCGGAAGAACACCAGUGGCGAAGGCGACUCACUGGCCCGUUACUGACGCUGAGGCGCGAAAGCGUGGGGAGCAAACAGG